GGGCUCUUGGCACAGGGGUAGCGCGCACGCUUCGCACCUGAUUAGAUGCUUGCGUGAGGUCGUGGGUUCAAAUCCCACAGUGUCCA